UUUUUUCCUUUUUCAGAUUCCUUUCCAUGAUAGGUUAUUACAAGAUAUUGACUAUCAUUCGCCUACUAUAUCAUACUGUAUAAUUCUGUGCUAAAUGCUCCACAUUCUUACAACAACUUCAUGAGUGGGAUAGUAUUAUUGUCUCACGUUUAUAGAUGAAGAAAGCAGGACUGGGGAAUCCUUCACUGACGGUCAUACAGACGUACGUGGUAGAGCUUCCAUGCAAACCAAGGACAGUCUGUAUUUUUGCAGCACAAUAAGGAGCUGUAGAAAGCAUGGUGAGAGCAUCCGUAGGAGUACAGAGUGGUAAUGGAAAGUUAAUGGGCGAGAUGGCAAUCUCCUAUUUAGGCAAAUUGUUCUUUACGGCGGAACGCACCCCCUCACCUAGCCUGUUCUCAGGAGCCAGAAAAUAUACGGUGCUUGAUUGGAGGAUAAGAGCAGUGUUUAUCCAGAGGGAAGACAAACCAGGCCCUACUGAAAAUGAGGGAACCAAGAUUACUGUGAAAUUCAGGAGAAGAGUGAUGAUGGUUGAAGUCCACUCUCUGAAACUAGAAAACCAAACAUCAUUCCUAACUUUAAAAGGGGUGGGGGCCAGUUUUGCUUUGGAAUGCUGGCAGACCAAGAGGAGGCUGUCCACCGAUUUGGGAAAAGGAGAGAAAAGUUAGUCCUGUGUUGCUAGGCAACACAGUCCCAUGCUGAGUGUUCUUCCUUUCUUAAAGGACUGGUGCAGUGUUUUGGUUCAGCAAAUACUAGCUAUUCUGGUGAAUCAGAAGGACCGUUCUCAGAAUAAGACUGGCAAAGCCAGAAAGAGCCCAAAUGCAGGCAAUUAGAAUAUGAUUAUUGGCAUGGACCUUUGGGCAUGGAAUAAGGUGUAUGCUAGGUGGGGUGAAAUAAUGCCUACCUAAUGCUACCCCGACCAAAAAAAGGUUUUAUAUGACCCACAUGAUUCCUAAUUAGGGCCUCGAGUCUGAAGGAAUUAUAGAUGCCCAAUAAAAAUUUAUUGCAAAAGAUAAAAUGACUCACAGAAGACAAAUGGCUGAGUGGCUGACAGCAAAGAAAGUGAGGGGGCGUCAUUUGGAAAAGGAUCCCGGAUGUGUGUUCCAGGGUCACGUCCCCCAGGGGGCUGUCCCUUGUAGGUCAUGCCUUCACAAACACGCAAGAUUGGUCGCUGCCAGUUCUCAGGUGUUGACUCUGACCCCGCCGUGGAGGGGGCUCCAGCGGGACAGAUAAGGCGCAGCCUUACGGUUGGCUAAACAGGGGAUCGAGUUUGUGGUCUUUGAGAUGAAAGCCCCUGGGGGUCUCCCUCUCCGCACAGCCACUCCAUCAACUUUCCUAAUUUGGAAUCAGACUUCAGGCUGGAGGGAGGGAAGGAAAACACUCUCUGCGCUGGAGGAAAAGGGGAGGAUUUGAUGAAUGCACAGAUAGGGAGGGAGCGGUUCUCAGGGCAAAGCAUCUUUGAUCAGUGGUAUGAAGACGCAUCUUUCAACCCCCCCUCAGAUUCCAGCCACUUUCAAGGGACAAAAAGAAGCUGAUUCAGAGCCCAGCUGUUGUUAUGAAAACCAAACCAAAACAAGAAAAGGGAAAGAAGGACGGCAAAAUACCAUCUCAAGUGGAUGAUCUGAAGCAGCAACGAAUGGUGAUGGUUCUCAUCAGAAUUCAUCUCAGAACUGGAGGGGGGCUGUUUGGGCCACUGUGCUGGAAGAAAUACAGGUCUUCUGGGAGAGCUGAGGAGAUUUUGUUAUUGGUCCUUUUCCUGUAGAAGGGCACCUCCUGUGUCCGUGUAGGUGGACGUUCUCUGGAAAGCAAGUUGACCUCUCAAAUAACAGUGACUAACUUUGAUUCAUUGCCCACUGGGUGCACCGCACUCUCCUGUGGGUUAUCUGAUUUGAGCAGUCAUUUUCUUCAGAGCAUUUAUACUGUAUGAAAUUGCUGCCAGAAAAUACAGAUCCUCUGUGCUUACAUUAGCAACGGAUGGGCAGAUGCCUUGAGGAGAGUGAGUGAUCCUUGGAUCUCCUGUGCUCCCUGCGUGAGACGUUGUCCAAAUGGGUCCUUCGGAAGGCAAAUGUCAGUUUUUGACGUCUGCCUUUUCUAGAAAUCUGUUUUACCCCUUGUUUAUUCUCUUUCUGUUGAACAGCACAAGCGUGAAUUGAAAGGUUUUGGAUGUUUGAUUUUUUCCAAUCCUCUCUAUGAAGUAUUUGCAUGUAUAUGCAUCUUUUUUUUAAGCAACUAGAUGUGGUUUGUGUUCAGAAGGUAUACAAGCACAAAUGCAGGAACACAGGGUCCUUUCUCGCUCAGAUCCUUUCUGUGGGUUUGCGUGGAUCAUUUGUGCCUGGCUACUAGAAUGUUCCUGAUUGCUGCUCUUUUCUCUUUACUGUAGCUCACUCUGUAGCUGGUUGAUCUAGUACUUUCACUCUCAAAACUUAAGGAGUUUCAAAGUUCUCCAGCAGAAUUGCCCAGUAUUUGUAAAGUCUGCUCUCUGCCCCUCAGAAGAAGAAACUGUGCGUUUCUACAUGCCUGUCCUCGAAAGUAAAUCGGAAUCUUACCAGGCAAGAAUUGUCACGCUAGAGAGCUGCCUGUAAUGAGGACUCAGCCAUUGAUAAUUCUCCAUGGUCACUUGUCCUGCAAAGUGUCUGAUCUGCAGGGCUCUUAGGCUGUACCUGAUGCCAAGGUGACGCCUCCAUCUCAGCUGCCAGUCAAAGCAAGCCAUGUCAGGAGUGACCAGAGCGGGGCCAGGACAGCAGCCUAUCUGCCCAGCUCGGGGGCAGGCUCCUCCGGCUGGUCCAUGGGAGCCCGGUGGUCCAGAGACCUGCUUUGAUCAGAUGUAGAGUCCAGAUUUCACAUGAUGCUCUGCACUGGGGCUGUGUUCUCUUGGCUUUGAGUGGUGAUCCUGUGUCCAUUGCUGGUCGGUGCAACCCUUUCGGUUGCCUUCGUCUGGUUUUCCACUCUGCUCCCCAGGGCUUGGCCUGUCAGUGCACUGCUGCGGGGGUGGGGUGGGGUGGGGG